UAAAGAAGAGGAAGAGAGGGGAUUGGAGAGAUGCAAAACUUGCAAAUUUUCAUUAAUCAUUCAAAGUCCCUUAACAUUUAGAAAAGUAGGGUAUUUAUACUAAAACCCUAACUUGAAUAAGCAAUUGGGCUUAUGGCCCAUUAAAUAAAAUAUCCAACAAAUAAAGCCAAAUUAAUAAAACUCAACUGAAAGUCCAUAUAAAUUAAACCCAAAAACAUAAGUUAAAGCCCAAUUUCUCAAUGGUUUGGGCUAUCCUCCAUCGUCUAUGAUCAUACGCGUGCGUAAAUAGUGUUUCUGGUUCGGUGUCCCCAUCAAUUCUCCCGGGGUUGGAAGAACUCGACCCCGUCGAGUAUAGGUUAAGGCAGCUCCGAUAAUGCUCUC
rnacentral:lncRNA from 1 species